GACGAACGCUGGCGGCGUGCUUAACACAUGCAAGUCGAACGGAAAGGCCCCCACUUUUUUGGUUGGGGUGCUCGAGUGGCGAACGGGUGAGUAACACGUGGGUGAUCUGCCCUGUACUUCGUGAUAAGCUUGGGAAACUGGGUCUAAUACCGGAUAUGACCAUGGUUUAGUUUCUCAUGGUGGAAAAAGUAUUGUUUUGGUGCAGGAUUAGCUCGCGGCCUAUCAGCUUGUUGGUGGGGUAAUGGCCUACCAAGGCGUCGACGGGUAGCCGGCCUGAGAGGGUGGACGGCCACAUUGGGACUGAGAUACGGCACAGACUCCUACGGGAGGCAGCAGUGGGGAAUAUUGCACAAUGGGCGCAAGACUGAUGCAGCGACGCCGCGUGGGGGAUGACGGCCUUCGGGUUGUAAACUCCUUUCGUUAGGGACGAAGCCGCACCUUUUUUGGGUGUGGUGACGGUACCUUUGUUAAGAAGCACCGGCUAACUACGUG
rnacentral:rRNA from 1 species